UUUGAGAGACUUAAGAAAGUUUUUCAUUGUAACUUGCUUGCAAAUUGUAUUUGCAACAUUUUAAUCUUUUUAAGAUUAAGGGCCUAUAGCUCAGUUGGUUAGAGCACACGCCUGAUAAGCGUGAGGUCGGUGGUUCAAGUCCAUUUAGGCCCACCAUAACCACAAAUAGGCAAAAUCUUAAAAAAGCUCUUUGAAAAGUAGAUAAACGAAGGUUAAAAAAUCAAAGGAACUAAGGGCGCACAGUGGAUGCCUUGGCACUAAGAGCCGAUGAAGGACGCAAUUAACGGCGAAACGCCACGGGAAGCUGUAAAUAAGUGAAGAUCCGUGGGUCUCCGAAUGGGAAAACCCAUUACAUUGAAGAUGUAAUAUUCUUCUAAUGCGAUUUAUCUUGUUAGAAGAAAGGAAACGCGGCGAACUGAAAUAUCUAAGUAACCGCAGGAAAAGAAAGUAAUAACGAUUCUGGUAGUAGUGACGAGCGAACCCGGAACAGCCUGAUACCAUUUCUAGUUACAAAAUUUUAACGAAGUAGAAGCUUUUGGAAAGAAGCACCAAAGAAGGUGACAGUCCCGUAAACGUAAGUUAAAAUCUAGGGUAUCAAUAAGUACGGCGAGACACGAGAAAUCUUGUCGGAAGAUGGGAGGACCAUCUCCUAAGGCUAAAUACUUCUUAGUGACCGAUAGUGAACUAGUACCGUGAGGGAAAGGUGAAAAGAACCCCGAAAGGGGAGUGAAAUAGAUCCUGAAACUGUGUGCCUACAAUUAGUCAAAGCACGUUAAUGUGUGAUGGCUUGCCUUUUGCAGAAUGAACCGGCGAGUUAUGAUAUGGAGCAAGGUUAAGUUUUAAGGAACGGAGCCGUAGCGAAAGCGAGUCUUAAUAGGGCGUUUAGUUGCAUGUCAUAGACCCGAAACUGAAGUGAGCUAGCCAUGAGCAGGUUGAAGUUUAGGUAAAACUAAAUGGAGGACCGAACCAGGACACGUUGAAAAGUGUUUGGAUGACUUGUGGCUAGGGGUGAAAUUCCAAUCGAACUCAGAGAUAGCUGGUUCUCCCCGAAAUAGCUUUAGGGCUAGCGUUGAUUUAGUAAUUUGGUGAAGGUAGAGCACUGAAUGAGUAAGGGCUCCACCUCGGGGUACCGAACUCAAUCAAACUCCGAAUGUUACCAAAUAAAAUCAGCAGUCAGACUGUGGGUGAUAAGGUCCAUGGUCAAAAGGGAAAGAGCCCAGACCGUCAGCUAAGGUCCCAAAAUUGAUGUUAAGUGGCAAAGGAAGUGAAGACGUUUAAACAACUAGGAGGUUGGCUUAGAAGCAGCCAUCCUUUAAAGAGUGCGUAAUAGCUCACUAGUCGAAUGACUCUGCGCCGAAAAUGUACCGGGGCUAAAACAUCAUACCGAAGCUACGGAUUGAAAUAACUUCUUAGUUAUUUGAAUGGUAGGGGAAGCGUUCUGACAUCAGUGAAGCCAUAGCGGAAGCAGUGGUGGAGAGGUCAGAAGUGAGAAUGCCGGUGUAAGUAACGAAAAGAUAGGUGAGAAUCCUAUCCGUCAAAAACCCAAGGUUUCCAGGGCCAGGUUCGUCCUCCCUGGGUUAGUCGGGUCCUAAGGUGAGGGAGAAAUCCGUAAUCGAUGGCAAGCAGGCUGAGAUUCCUGCACUAGUUAAUCAACUGACGGAGGGACAAAGCAGGCUAAACACGCCCCUUAUUGGAUUGGGGUAGAAAAACUAAGUCUGAGAAGACAGGCAAAUCCAUUUUCUCAUUUAAAGACAAGGUUUGAAAGUAAAGUGAUUGAUGUCAUACUUUCAAGAAAAGCUUCUAGGGCUAAUUGAUUAACUACCCGUACCGCAAACCGACACAGGUGGGUAGGUAGAGUAUACUAAGACGCGCGAGCAAACUCUUGUUAAGGAACUCGGCAAAAUUACUCCGUAACUUAGGGAUAAGGAGAGCUUUUAUUAAAACUAAAAGCCGCAGAGAAUAGGCCCAAGCGACUGUUUAUCAAAAACAUAGGUCUCUGCUAAACCGCAAGGUGAUGUAUAGGGGCUGAUGCCUGCCCGGUGCUGGAAGAUUAAAAGGAGAUGUCAGGCAACGAAGCAUUGAAUUGAAGUCCCAGUAAACGGCGGCCGUAACUAUAACGGUCCUAAGGUAGCGAAAUUCCUUGUCGGGUAAGUUCCGACCCGCACGAAAGGCAUAACGAUUUGGGCGCUGUCUCAACAAGAGCCUCGGUGAAAUCAAAUUACCGGUGAAAAUGCCGGUUACCCGCGACAGGACGAAAAGACCCCAUGGAGCUUUACUGCAACUUAAUAUUGAAAUUGGAAAUAAGAUGUACAGGAUAGGUGGGAAACUGUGAGAGAAAAACGCUAGUUUUUCUGGAGUUGUCCUUGGGAUACCACCCUUGUUAUUUUUAGUUUCUAACCUGCACAUGUGUAAUGUGAGGGACAGUGUUUGGUGGGCAGUUUGACUGGGGCGGUCGCCUCCUAAAGAGUAACGGAGGCGUUCGAAGGUUCCCUCAAAAUGGUUGGAAAUCAUUUGUAGAGCAUAAAGGCACAAGGGAGCUUGACUGCAAGACUUACAAGUCGAGCAGGGACGAAAGUCGGACUUAGUGAUCUUACGGUACCGAAUGGAAGGGCCGUGACUCAACGGAUAAAAGCUACCCUGGGGAUAACAGGCUUAUCGCUUCCAAGCGUUCACAGCGACGAAGCGGUUUGGCACCUCGAUGUCGGCUCAUCGCAUCCUGGAGCUGGAGAAGGUUCCAAGGGUUGGGCUGUUCGCCCAUUAAAGCGGAACGCGAGCUGGGUUCAGAACGUCGUGAGACAGUUCGGUCUCUAUCCGUCGUGGGCGUUGGAAAUUUGAAAGGAACUGUCCCUAGUAUGAGAAGACCGGGAUGGAUAUACCGCUGGUGUUUCAGUUGGUUCGCCAGAGCCACAGCUGAGUAGCUAUGUAUAGAAGGGAUAAACACUGAAAGCAUCUAAGUGUGAAGCCUCCCUUAAGAUGAGAUUUCCCUAUGAGGUCCCUGAAAGACUAUCAGGUUGAUAGGCUAGAGGUGUAAGAAGAGUGAUCUUUUCAGCUGACUAGUACUAAUAGACCCAUUGACUUUGAUUU
rnacentral:rRNA from 1 species